AUCUUGCUGGAGAUCUGCCUGCCUGGGGACUUUUACUAGGCCUUCUGAAGCACAGGAACCUGGACCACAUGGACUUUGAGCAAAGACUGAUGAGGAGCUUGCUACCUCUUCUUAGUGACACAAAUUCUUCUGAGAGAAAAUGGAAGCACAUGCAGGUGGUGUUUUUCUAGACCUCUUCCUGUGUCUGUAAGGGUGUGAAAGAGCUGUGGUGGAUCCUGUUUCUGGAGGAAGGAAUUGACUUUGUCAAUGCCAGCCACGCUGGUAAGGGAAGAAUUCCCUACAGUCUUCACAGAGCAGGCUAUACAGAACAUGUGCUGUAAGUGGGGCUUUCUCACUUUUGGAGGUUGUGCUUUCCCUGCACACAGGUCCCUCCUGAAGUGCUGAGCUUGGGAAUUUAAUUAGCUGAAUGUUUCUUCUCUUUUUAUUUCACUUUUUCUUCAAAGAAUUAAAUAGUGAGAAAGAAUUCUGGCUGUUUCAAACAGCAUGCAGGAAAUGAGCAAGCUGAAUGGUGUGUUUGCCAGCACACGGACCUUUCUGGCAUACCUAAAUUUUGUCUGGACUAUAGAUUUUCCUUAUGGUUAGACAUUAGUAGCCAACCAUCAAAAGCUUUUCCAUACAGAACAAAAGCCAUGAUUUGCUGUGGUCCGUGCCUCUGACUAAUAAAUAUGUCCUGAGAUGCCCCGGGAUGGGAUGGUCUGUUUCAUAUGAGCAUCUGUUUUCUGUUUUUCUCCCCUUGAAGUGUGGUUCCUGCCUGGGGGACCCUGGGGGCACUCACAUCCAGAACUGACCAUAGGCAGGUGGAAACUGCUUGGAGGUCUAACGCCCUUCCACAUGGCUCAUAGAGCCAUGCUGGGGAGGCAGCCAGCCACCAGAUAAGGGACAGACGUAGCUGGAGAAGAAGACUGGGCUCUCCUGGGACAGAUAAAAGUCAGCCACUUGCUGCCAGUGGUUGUCUACUCAACGAGAACAUGGCGUUUUGAUUACAUUUCCCUCUGUUGCCAAAAGAUGAAUCCAAGAAAGAAAUCAAGAACGUAAUCUACAAAUACAAUUCUGGCUCAUUUCUGCUAGGCUGAGUACCUCAUUUGCACUUCUUUUGCUCUUCCUACUGACUCCUCUUGGCCUGAACUGUCAAGUUAGUAUGGUCUGCCUUCAUAUGUAUAUAUAUUUGUCCUUUUUCUCCAUCAAUUGAGUUGAAAUGCCACCUGUAUUUCCUUUGUGCAGUAGUAACUACAGAGGAAAGAAUCAACAUGCUACGGUAAAAGAGGAAGUUUCAGGAUUCCUACUUCUCUUUGGAUUUGGGAAAUGAAUACGUGUGAAUGACUUUUACUAAGGAAUGUCUUUAAAACCUACUCAUAUAAUAGGGCUGAGGUGCGAGUAAUUUGUAACAGUAAGGGGAAAAUUAGAGAGAAAAUGUAGAGGAAAUGUCAAGUGCUUGCAGAGAUGCGUGUAUCUGCUUUUAUUCUACUGGAACAGAAACAGUGAUAUAUGAAUCAUUCAUGGCCUCUCCUUGCCCUCGUGGUUUUGGCAACAAAGGCCACUCUCUGAAGCAGUACAGGAGCUUGUAUCCUGGAGUUGGAAGAAAAUUCACUUGUCAGAGAGAAAUCUUUUGGGGCAAUCAGCAGACAUGGAAAGAUGGGAGGGAAUCAGCAAAAGAAGGCUGAAAAUAUCAGAGGUGUGAGGGUAAGGCGUGCUUGGGUUCUAUUGCCUAAAUGAGGCUAUUACUGCUGUCAUUGCUUUCCUGGACACUCACCGCUGUUACCUGAACCACGAUUACAUCACUGCCUCAUC
ensembl:lncRNA